UGCAUGAAGUCGGAAUCGCUAGUAAUCGCGCGAUCAGCAUGCCGCGGUGAAUACGUUCUCGGGCCUUGUACACACCGCCCGUCACACCAUGGGAGUUGGUUUUGCCUGAAGACGGUGUGCUAACCGCAAGGAGGCAGCCGGCCACGGUAGGGUCAGCGACUGGGGUGAAGUCGUAACAAGGUAGCCGUAGGGGAAC
rnacentral:rRNA from 1 species